CAUGUCCUAAGAUAUAUUGCUAUAUAUGAAUCUGUAGCUCCUGAUAAGGACAAAUCUGUUGUCGCUUUUGUACAAUGAAAAUUAGAAUUUCAUUGCAGUUCUUAAUUCUUUUCAGAUAAUUCAAGUAAUUCAUUCCAUGAGCUGUUUACUUGCAGGAACUUAAAAUUGGGAAAGUCUGCGUAUUCAAGAACCUUGCUAAUACUGAACACUCCUAUCAUGGGAGACUGCUGGGAGCAAAAUCCCCAACUCGGAAUCUUAGCUUAAAACCACCACAGACAGAACACUAUGUUCCUACACUACUCUUCCACCUUUAGAUGUAGAUGUGAGGUUCUUGCUGAUAUCUGGAAGGGAAUAUGAACAAGCUUUCGAAGCUAAAUGCAUUUGUGAAAGUCACUUAGUAGCCACAUGCUCCUUCAGGUUGUUCUACCUGUUUUUGUUUGUGCUGACAAGGAUAUUGAAAGCUUGGAUGAAGUGAAGAGAGGUUUAAGGAAGAGUAGUUG